GCAUCGAGUAAUUUGAAGGAGGUUUGAUCAUGGCUCAGAUUGAACGCUGGCGGGAUGCUUUACACAUGCAGUCGAACGGCAGCACGGACUUCGGUCUGGUGGCGAGUGGCGAACGGGUGAGUAAUGUAUCGGAACGUGCCUAGUAGCGGGGGAUAACUACGCGAAAGCGUAGCUAAUACCGCAUACGCCCUUCGGGGGAAAGCGGGGGACCUUCGGGCCUCGCACUAUUAGAGCGGCCGAUAUCGGAUUGACUGGUUGAUGGGAUAACGGCUCACCAAGGCGACGUCCGUAGCUGGUUUGAGAGGACGACCAGCCACACUGGGACUGAGACACGGCCCAGACUCCUGGAGGCCCGGCAGUGGGGAAUUUUGGACAAUGGGGAAACCUAAUCCAGCCAUCCCGCGUGUGCGAUGAAGGCCUGCUGGGUUGUAAAGCACUUUUGGCAGGAAAGAAACAGCACAGGAUAAUGCGUCGCAACUGACGGUACCUGCAGAAUAAGCACCGGCUAACUACGUACCAGCAACCGCGUAGCCCGUAAGUGCAAGCGUUAAUCGGAAUUACUGGGCGUAAAAGCGUGCGCAGGCGGUUCGGAAAGAAAAGAUGUGAAAUCGAGUAACACCGUUUCGUUUUAACUACCGAGCUAGAAGUGGUAUCAGAGGGAGGUGGAAUUCCGCGUGUAGCAGUGAAAUGCGUAGAUAUGCGGAGAGACACCGAUGGCGAAGGCAGCCUCCUGAAGGAUACUGACGCUCAUGCACGAAGCGUGGGGGCAAACAGGAUUAGAUACCCUGGUAGUCCACGCCUAAACGAUGUCAACUAGCUGUUGGGGCCUUAAGGCUUGGUAGCGCAGCUAACGCGUGAGAAGUUGACGCCUGUAAGAGUACGGUCGCAAGAUUAAAACUCAAAGGAAUUGACGAGGACCCGCACAAGCGGUGGAUGAUGUGGAUUAAUUCGAUGCAACGCGAAAAAGAAGGCCUUGCCUACCCUUGACAUGUCUGGAAUCCCGAAGAGAUUUGGGAGUGCUCGCAAGAGAACCGGAACACAGGUGCUGCAUGGCUGUCGUCCAGCUCGUGUCGUGAGAUGUUGAGUUAAGUCCAUAACGAGCACAGCCCUUGUCAUUAGUUGCUACGAAGAAGGCGCUCUAAUGAGACUGCCGGUGACAAACCGGAGGAAGGUGGGGAUGACGUCAAGUCCUCGCCCUUAUGGGUAGGGCUUCACACGUCAUACAAUGGUCAGGACAGAGGGUCGCCAACCCGCGAGGAGCCAGUCCCAGAAACCCGAUCGUAGUCCGGAUCGCAGUCUGCAACUCGACUGCGUGGAAAUUCAGACUCGCUAGUAAUCGCGGAUCAGCAUGUCGCGGUGAAUACGUUCCCGGGUCUUGUACACACCGCCCGUCACACCAUGGGAGUGGGUUUUACCAAGUAGUUAACUCUAACCGUAAGGAGGGCGAUUACCACGGUAAGGAUUCAUGACUGGGGUGAAGUCGUAAUAAGGUAG
rnacentral:rRNA from 1 species